CUCUGAAUACAUUAGCAUGGAAUAACGUGAUAGGAGUCUGGUCCUAUUGUGUUGGCCUUCGGGACCGGAGUAAUGAUUAAUAGGGACUGUCGGGGGCAUUCGUAUUUCAUUGUCAGAGGUGAAAUUCUUGGAUUUAUUGAAGACUAACUACUGCGAAAGCAUUUGCCAAGGAUGUUUUCAUUAAUCAAGAACGAAAGUUGGGGGCUCGAAGAUGAUUAGAUACCAUCCUAGUCUCAACCAUAAACGAUGCCGACUAGGGAUUGGCGGACGUUA
rnacentral:rRNA from 11 species